rnacentral:rRNA from 1 species
AAUUUUGGACAAUGGGCGCAAGCCAGAUCCAGCCACGCCGCGUGAGUGAAGAAGGCCUUCGUGGUGUAAAGCUCUUUCGGACGGGAAGAAAUAGCGCAGGCUAAUACCUAGCGCGGCCGACGGUACAUUCAAAAGAAGCACCGGCGAACAACGGGCCAGCAGCCGCGGUAAUACGUAGGGUGCGAGCGUUCAGCGGAAUUACUGGGCGUAAAGCGUGCGCAGGCUGUUGAUUAAGACAGGCGUGAAAUCCCCGGGCUUAACCUGGGAACUGCGCUUGUGACUGGUCAGCUAGAGUACGGCAGAGGGGGGUGGAAUUCCACGUGUAGCAGUGAAACGCGUAGAGAUGUGGAGGAACACCGAUGGCGAAGGCAGCCCCCUGGGCCGAUACUGACGCUCAUGCACGAAAGCGUGGGUAGCAAACAGG